AUACCCUGGUAGUCCACGCCGUAAACGAUGUCUACUUGGAAGGUUGGUGUCUUGAACACUGGCUUUCGGAGCUAACGCGUUAAGUAGACCGCCUGGGGAGUACGGUCGCAAGAUUAAAACUCAAAUGAAUUGACGGGGGCCCGCACAAGCGGUGGAGCAUGUGGUUUAAUUCGAUGCAACGCGAAGAACCUUACCUACUCUUGACAUCCACGGAAUCCUGCAGAGAUGCGGGAGUGCCUUCGGGAACCGUGAGACAGGUGCUGCAUGGCUGUCGUCAGCUCGUGUUGUGAAAUGUUGGGUUAAGUCCCGCAACGAGCGCAACCCUUAUCCUUGUUUGCCAGCACUUCGGGUGGGAACUCCAGGGAGACUGCCGGUGAUAAACCGGAGGAAGGUGGGGACGACGUCAAGUCAUCAUGGCCCUUACGAGUAGGGCUACACACGUGCUACAAUGGCAUAUACAGAGGGCAGCAAGACCGCGAGGUGGAGCGAAUCCCACAAAGUAUGUCGUAGUCCGGAUUGGAGUCUGCAACUCGACUCCAUGAAGUCGGAAUCGCUAGUAAUCGUGGAUCAGAAUGCCACGGUGAAUACGUUCCCGGGCCUUGUACACACCGCCCGUCACACCAUGGGAGUGGGCUGCACCAGAAGUAGAUAGCUUAACCUUCGGGAGGGCGUUUAACCCCCCGGGGGGU
rnacentral:rRNA from 1 species